CCGACUCACCGAGGAUGAUGUGAGCGAGACAGACGCGCAGGCGGGAAGCCGGGCCUUGGUGUCGCGGCCGCCAACGCGCGGGUGCAGCAGGUGAAAGACAAAAGGACCUUGAAGGCGGUAUGGCUUGCUGCCCUUCCAGAUGCAGAGGCGGCUCCGGUCCUGUUGCCAGGAGGACAGGACUGGUUGAGUGCCAAAUCCUGUGCUGUGGAGUGCAUUGGAGAACCUGAGCUGACCAGGGCAUUGACCUUGCUAAGGUUUAUGCACUGACAGAGGAAACGAGUUUAGAGUCCCAUAAUCUAGGUACUAGGCAGACUCUGCUAAAAUUUUCGAUUGAGGUUAGCAUGCAGUACAGUGGGGGCCUGCAGGGGUCAGCAAGGGCUUCUGGGAGGAAGAGGCAUCUGAGACUGCAGAGAGGUGGAAAGUCAGCAGAUGGAGAUGGGAAAAGGGAUGAUGGGGGAGGUACCAUCCAUCCCUCAUCCAUUGGGUCAGCCAGGCCUUUUGCAAAGCUCAGGGAGGCUCAGAGUUAAACCCAAGGCAGCCCUGCCCCUGCCAGGAGCUCCUGAAUGGAGGUGGAGAAUGCGGGGUGUAUGUGAGCAGAAGGUAAAAAAGCUGGAACAAGGAAGUGGGCGAGAGUGAGCGUCUGGCCCCAACCUGGCUCUGGAAUUUCACCAGGCACCGGAUUACCUGCUCCCUGCUCCUGGGCCACCCUGGAACGCUCACUGGCGGUGUUGCUGCCCCCUUUCUCCCAUGCAUGCAAAGACUCUCUCCUGCAGGGCCAGCCCUUGCU